rnacentral:rRNA from 1 species
GACGAACGCUGGCGGCGUGCUUAACACAUGCAAGUCGAACGGAAAGGCCCUGCUUUUGUGGGGUGCUCGAGUGGCGAACGGGUGAGUAACACGUGAGUAACCUGCCCUUGACUUUGGGAUAACUUCAGGAAACUGGGGCUAAUACCGGAUAGGAGCUCCUGCUGCAUGGUGGGGGUUGGAAAGUUUCGGCGGUUGGGGAUGGACUCGCGGCUUAUCACCUUGUUGGUGGGGUAGUGGCUUACCAAGGCUUUGACGGGUAGCCGGCCUGAGAGGGUGACCGGCCACAUUGGGACUGAGAUACGGCCCAGACUCCUACGGGAGGCAGCAGUGGGGAAUAUUGCACAAUGGGCGGAAGCCUGAUGCAGCAACGCCGCGUGCGGGAUGACGGCCUUCGGGUUGUAAACCGCUUUCGCCUGUGACGAAGCGUGAGUGACGGUAAUGGGUAAAGAAGCACCGGCUAACUACGUA